ACGAAAACCUGUGAACACGUUUAAAAAUCGCGUUGGGCGUCGGGGUAAAACCUGCGCCCCUCGCAACCUGCCCGGCCGAACGGCGGCCAUACCGGGCUGUCGGUCGUGUCGGGUAACUGAAUCAAAAACCGGCGCGGGAAGCGCCAAGGACUUUACGAAAUGGGCCCCCCCCCACCUCGCCCCGAAAGGGUCGCGGGCAGUGCGGGGGGGCGGAAGUUGGCUUCCCGUGCUCUGUCGCGGCCAGCCUAAAAAAAGGUUCCCUCGCCGCGGACGUCGCGACAAGUGGUGGUCGUCGAGAUUGAACGCGAGUCGCCGGCAAGCCGUGUCGAGGAGAGCGCUUGGACCCUGUGCAUGUGAGUCCCUCUCGAGGGACGACCGGCACGACCAGCGACCCCAG
rnacentral:misc_RNA from 1 species